rnacentral:misc_RNA from 1 species
AACGCACAUUGCGCCCGCCAGUAUUCUGGCGGGCAUGCCUGUCUGAGCGUCAUUUCAACCCUCACGCCCCUAGGGCGUGGUGUUGGGGAUCGGCCAGCGCCCUCGCGGGCGAGGCCGUCCCCUAAAUCUAGUGGCGGACCCGUCGUGGCCUCCCCUGCGAAGUAGUGAUAUUCCGCAUAGGAGAGCGACGAGCCCCUGCCGUUAAACCCCCAACUUUCUCAGGUUGACCUCAGAUCAGGUAGGAAUACCCGCUGAACUUAA